AUGAGUGAGGGUUUUUAUGAAACCCAACCUCCCACCCGUGUUUAUUGUACCUUGUUGCUUCGGUGGGCCCGCCGCAAGGCCGCCGGGGGCUUUAGCCCCGGGCCCGCGCCCACCGGAGACAAACUGAACUCUGUCUGAAUGUUGCAGUCUGAGUAACAACUUAAUAAGUUA
rnacentral:misc_RNA from 1 species